rnacentral:rRNA from 1 species
AGUGAACGCUGGCGGUAGGCCUAACACAUGCAAGUCGAACGGCAGCACAGUAAGAGCUUGCUCUUACGGGUGGCGAGUGGCGGACGGGUGAGGAAUACAUCGGAAUCUACUUUUUCGUGGGGGAUAACGUAGGGAAACUUACGCUAAUACCGCAUACGACCUACGGGUGAAAGCAGGGGAUCUUCGGACCUUGCGCGAUUGAAUGAGCCGAUGUCGGAUUAGCUAGUUGGCGGGUAAAGGCCCACCAAGGCGACGAUCCGUAGCUGGUCUGAGAGGAUGAUCAGCCACACUGGAACUGAGACGCGGUCCAGACUCCUACGGGAGGCAGCAGUGGGGAAUAUUGGACAAUGGGCGCAAGCCUGAUCCAGCCAUACCGCGUGGGUGAAGAAGGCCUUCGGGUUGUAAAGCCCUUUUGUUGGGAAAGAAAAGCAGCAGGUUAAUACCCCGCUGUUCUGACGGUACCCAAAGAAUAAGCACCGGCUAACUUCGUG